AUGCAUCACUUUCUUUAUAAAACUUCCUGCAGUCCAUUAAAUGGAGAUGAACUGACCUGGGACAAUCGAGAAGACUCAAGAAGUGCAGAAGUCAGUCUGUGGAGUGCACUCCGCCUUCUCUUUGCAGAGACACUGGGCACCAGAUGCCAAGAAACAGCCACCAAGGGACACCCAGCACUUGGAGGUGCUGCUAAGUUUCCCUCACUCAGAGGGAGCUACUGCCUGGUGAGCUCCAAGCUCUAAUAAAUAUUUUACCUCAUAGCAAGUAGAGACAAGAAGGAACAGAAAGGCUAUUUAUUUUUCCUUUUUAUCCCUGCACCCCCCUAAAAUAUGUCCUAAGACCAUGGAUAUCAAAACUGCUCAAUUUUGUCUGUGCUAGACUGAGCAGGGAUGAGAAAUUAGUGCAAGUGCUUAAAGCUGUAAUAUUUCAUCUGCGAUUCAACCCUAUUGUACCAUUCAUAACACACCUGCCUUUUAUUAAAGUUAUAUCUAUCCUUGUUCUUCUCUUUCCUUCCCUAUGUUGCUGCCUAUGCUGACUCCUCCAUUCAUGUAUGUUUCCGGAUGGACAGACUGAGCAAUCUUGUAGAAUGCGCUGUCUCAAGAGUAC
rnacentral:lncRNA from 1 species